UUGAACGCUGGCGGCAGGCCUAACACAUGCAAGUCGAGCGGUAACACAGAGAGCUUGCUCUCGGGUGACGAGCGGCGGACGGGUGAGUAAUGUCUGGGAAACUGCCUGAUGGAGGGGGAUAACUACUGGAAACGGUAGCUAAUACCGCAUAACGUCGCAAGACCAAAGUGGGGGACCUUCGGGCCUCAUGCCAUCAGAUGUGCCCAGAUGGGAUUAGCUAGUAGGUGGGGUAACGGCUCACCUAGGCGACGAUCCCUAGCUGGUCUGAGAGGAUGACCAGCCACACUGGAACUGAGACACGGUCCAGACUCCUACGGGAGGCAGCAGUGGGGAAUAUUGCACAAUGGGCGCAAGCCUGAUGCAGCCAUGCCGCGUGUGUGAAGAAGGCCUUCGGGUUGUAAAGCACUUUCAGCGGGGAGGAAGGCGGUGAGGUUAAUAACCUCAUCGAUUGACGUUACCCGCAGAAGAAGCACCGGCUAACUCCGUGCCAGCAGCCGCGGUAAUACGGAGGGUGCAAGCGUUAAUCGGAAUUACUGGGCGUAAAGCGCACGCAGGCGGUCUGUCAAGUCGGAUGUGAAAUCCCCGGGCUCAACCUGGGAACUGCAUUCGAAACUGGCAGGCUAGAGUCUUGUAGAGGGGGGUAGAAUUCCAGGUGUAGCGGUGAAAUGCGUAGAGAUCUGGAGGAAUACCGGUGGCGAAGGCGGCCCCCUGGACAAAGACUGACGCUCAGGUGCGAAAGCGUGGGGAGCAAACAGGAUUAGAUACCCUGGUAGUCCACGCCGUAAACGAUGUCGAUUUGGAGGUUGUGCCCUUGAGGCGUGGCUUCCGGAGCUAACGCGUUAAAUCGACCGCCUGGGGAGUACGGCCGCAAGGUUAAAACUCAAAUGAAUUGACGGGGGCCCGCACAAGCGGUGGAGCAUGUGGUUUAAUUCGAUGCAACGCGAAGAACCUUACCUGGUCUUGACAUCCACAGAACUUUCCAGAGAUGGAUUGGUGCCUUCGGGAACUGUGAGACAGGUGCUGCAUGGCUGUCGUCAGCUCGUGUUGUGAAAUGUUGGGUUAAGUCCCGCAACGAGCGCAACCCUUAUCCUUUGUUGCCAGCGGUUAGGCCGGGAACUCAAAGGAGACUGCCAGUGAUAAACUGGAGGGAGGUGGGGAUGACGUCAAGUCAUCAUGGCCCUUACGACCAGGGCUACACACGUGCUACAAUGGCAUAUACAAAGAGAAGCGACCUCGCGAGAGCAAGCGGACCUCAUAAAGUAUGUCGUAGUCCGGAUUGGAGUCUGCAACUCGACUCCAUGAAGUCGGAAUCGCUAGUAAUCGUAGAUCAGAAUGCUACGGUGAAUACGUUCCCGGGCCUUGUACACACCGCCCGUCACACCAUGGGAGUGGGUUGCAAAAGAAGUAGGUAGCUUAACCUUCGGGAGGGCGCUUACCACUUUGUGAUUCAUGACUGGGGUG
rnacentral:rRNA from 1 species